rnacentral:rRNA from 1 species
CGGACGGGUGAGUAAUGUAUGGGGAUCUGCCUGAUGGCGGGGGAUAACUACUGGGAACGGUAGCUAAUACCGCAUAACGUCGCAAGACCAAAGAGGGGGACCUUCGGGCCUCUUGCCAUCGGAUGUGCCCAGAUGGGAUUAGCUAGUAGGUGGGGUAACGGCUCACCUAGGCGACGAUCCCUAGCUGGUCUGAGAGGAUGACCAGCCACACUGGAACUGAGACACGGUCCAG